UAAAGAAAGCCCAAAAGCAUCAGAGGCCC
rnacentral:piRNA from 1 species